AUUGAACGCUAGCGGGAUGCUUUACACAUGCAAGUCGAACGGCAGCGCGGACUUCGGUCUGGCGGCGAGUGGCGAACGGGUGAGUAAUGUAUCGGAACGUGCCCAGUAGCGGGGGAUAACUACGCGAAAGCGUAGCUAAUACCGCAUACGCCCUACGGGGGAAAGCAGGGGAUCGUAAGACCUUGCACUAUUGGAGCGGCCGAUAUCGGAUUAGCUAGUUAGUGAGGUAACGGCUCACCAAGGCGACGAUCCGUAGCUGGUUUGAGAGGACGACCAGCCACACUGGGACUGAGACACGGCCCAGACUCCUACGGGAGGCAGCAGUGGGGAAUUUUGGACAAUGGGGGCAACCCUGAUCCAGCCAUCCCGCGUGUGCGAUGAAGGCCUUCGGGUUGUAAAGCACUUUUGGCAGGAAAGAAACGUCGCGGGCUAAUACCCCGUGGAACUGACGGUACCUGCAGAAUAAGCACCGGCUAACUACGUG
rnacentral:rRNA from 1 species